rnacentral:rRNA from 1 species
CUACCCUUGACAUGCCACUAACGAAGCAGAGAUGCAUUAGGUGCCCGAAAGGGAAAGUGGACACAGGUGCUGCAUGGCUGUCGUCAGCUCGUGUCGUGAGAUGUUGGGUUAAGUCCCGCAACGAGCGCAACCCUUGUCUCUAGUUGCUACGAAAGGGCACUCUAGAGAGACUGCCGGUGACAAACCGGAGGAAGGUGGGGAUGACGUCAAGUCCUCAUGGCCCUUAUGGGUAGGGCUUCACACGUCAUACAAUGGUGCGUACAGAGGGUUGCCAACCCGCGAGGGGGAGCUAGUCCCAGAAAACGCAUCGUAGUCCGGAUCGUAGUCUGCAACUCGACUACGUGAAGCUGGAAUCGCUAGUAAUCGCGGAUCAGCAUGCCGCGGUGAAUACGUUCCC